rnacentral:lncRNA from 1 species
GUAGGCUGCCAUUUCAGCUUUCCUGUGGUCCUCUAAGCACAAAGGGCUUUAAUCCUGAUGAUAUCCUCUUUGUUUACUUUUCUCUUGUCAGUUGUGCUUUGAUGCCACUUUGGCUUCUCUUUUCACAUCCCCAGUCUAUCACUGAUGGCAGUCAGGACAGGAACUCACACAGGGCGGGAACCUCAAGGCAGGAGCUGAUGCAGAGACCAUGGAAGAGUGCUGGGUUUUUUGUUUGUUUGU